CCUGUUGAGCUGCAUAUAGGUGUGCUCACGCUGGAAUCUCACGUUUCUAAAAGAAUCUUAAACACUUCAAACCUCAGGAAUUACUUGCUGGAGUUCCUCCCCGUCACACCAUGGGCUUCAGUCUCCUGCUUCCCUUCCUGGAUUCAAGUGUUCGCUUCUUGUUCUAGGAUGCAUAUGAUGCUUUGUCUCCAACAAAAAUCAAUGCAGAAGGGAACAUUUGAGCUUGGAUGAAGUCUGCGAGGCUCCAGUGAAGCACAGAUUAGGCAAAUGCUACUGUAAUAUGCGGACAAUGACAACGGAACUGCUGAAGAAAGCAGCAAAUUGUAAUGUGCUGCAGAAUGGUGGAUCGCACGAUAUCACAGUUCAAGAACAUGAUGGAAGUAAUUUCUAAACCAGUGUAUGGUUACAGCAGCUCACAGCACAAAAGUAGAACCACACACUUUAAGUACACUCUGUUUAUACAACUGUCUUCCCACUUACAUGUAGCACAUAAAUAUUUCUGAAAUAUUAGGAAUGAAUGGUAAAAUUAAAUUGCAUAUUCCAUUUUUUGUGCUAAACUACAGUAAUCCAACACUAUAAACAGUCUUUAGUCUUAAGUUUGAAUACAUGCUGUUUGUCUUCAUUGUUGCUGCAGAAUUUGAUGUUCAUUGAUGACAACACAAAGACCGUUCUUUACAGCUGAGAGAGUGACAAACAAUAAUUAUAGCUCUGAUGGGUAAAACCCACAAAGUAUUACCGUAGGUUAGACUGUAUUUCUUUUUACUUUUCAGUGUUUAAAUGGGAAAAUAAAAAUAUAAAGCAGAGCUGGAGGGCAGAAACAACAAACUCAGGGAUUCGUUUCUUUGAAGGAAAUCAUCUAAAGAUCCACAACACA